rnacentral:rRNA from 1 species
GGACGCAAGUCUGAUGGAGCAACGCCGCGUGAGUGAAGAAGGGUUUCGGCUCGUAAAGCUCUGUUGGUAGUGAAGAAAGAUAGAGGUAGUAACUGGCCUUUAUUUGACGGUAAUUACUUAGAAAGUCACGGCUAACUACGUGCCAGCAGCCGCGGUAAUACGUAGGUGGCAAGCGUUGUCCGGAUUUAUUGGGCGUAAAGCGAGUGCAGGCGGUUCAAUAAGUCUGAUGUGAAAGCCUUCGGCUCAACCGGAGAAUUGCAUCAGAAACUGUUGAACUUGAGUGCAGAAGAGGAGAGUGGAACUCCAUGUGUAGCGGUGGAAUGCGUAGAUAUAUGGAAGAACACC